rnacentral:lncRNA from 10 species
CCUCCUUCCUCACCAGGUUUGCCUGGCUGACCCUUCCAGCCAGUGAAUUCCUUUCCCAGGUUGAGUGUUUUCCAUUUUAAUUUUUAUGGCAUUUCCCUGGAUUAAUGGUUAACGCAUUCAUUUUCUCCCCUCCACCCUCCAUCAUCAAAGAGUGCUUUGAAUAACCAUUAACUCUCUGGUUAAGCGAAAGAAACACGUUAAUCAUCUACAAGUCCUGGGGCAGGAAAAUUAUUCUUGGUAACCUUCUCCCAGUGGCAAGAAAACCACUGUCCCUGAGCAGCUCAACUUCAGCCACACCUGGGUCUAGAAGCUUGCAAAACCCCUCCGGUAACCUUGUUACAAGGACCUGGUGAGGUCAUAAACUGCUGAAUGGCUAAGCGCUGUGCUUUUCAACCCAGCCACCACCGGUUCUCUAGGACCCUAUAAAGAGACAAGGCUGGGCUGCUGCUUCUCCCUUUACUUUUAAAAAUUGUUUUGCCAGUAAAGUCUCAUCUAUUGUACAUUCCUUCUUACUGGGAAACUCAAGUGGCUGUACAGGCUGUUCUUGGAGCCACAGUUAAAAGCGCUUUGACCCAAACACACAUGUGGCGUCAUCCUGAGCUCCGUUUGCGUGGGGCCGGAACACCGGACUAGGAAACCUCUCCCUGCUUUAGCAACUGAGUGUGGCUAGAUUGAGGGACCACAGGGGGUGGCUCUGGAUGCAGCAAUCCAAGUCCCCCUUUCAGGGAGGGUGACCUCUUUCCGAAGUUCAGUGGAUGGCCCCCUUCCAGGGUUAGGGAGACAGGAGGAGGAGGAAGAAGAAAAGGAGGAGGAAAGCUCUCAACAGCCCCCCACCCCCAACCCAUCCAGGAGAGAAGGACUGCAGUCCCCGAGACCAGCUGGAGGAGUGGCGUGUGCAUGGUGUGCCCGCAGGGUAGAGCGCGCCAUCUUGGAGAGAUGCCUCUUUCAUUCACAAAGCGGAUCUGUUGCAGAGCCCAGAGCCCCGGGGAGAGCAGGGCGGCGUCCAAGUGCUUGCUGGAUUUGGCUUGCACUCCCUCUCCCUUAAAGAAGACAGAGGCGGAAGGGAGAGGCUGUUCUUCGGAGGCGAGCCUCAGGCACUGCUAGACUUAUUAGGAAAGAUAUUGCUGGGGUCUUGGCAAGCCGUAGGUGCAGCGCUCCCCAUCGUCAUUCCGGUGCGGCUGGUUACUGUCACCCUGCCUCCUCCCCGCCGGCCUGAGAGCCUCUCUGUUCCAGAUCCAAACAUUUCCACAUUAGGCAGCCUGCAUGUGCAUUUCCCUGGCAGUGGAGGGAAAGGCACCCCUGUGACCUGGGAUGACCGACGACGGGGACUUGCCCUCCUCCCCCACAGGUGCACUUGCUCUUUUCUGGGCCAGCCUUGUGAUCUGGUGUCCGGGCACUUGGCAGCAUUUAGCAAAUGUUCCUCAGUGCUCUGUUUGGUAGUUAAUGCUGUUGACACGGACACCUUUGGGAGCACGUGGGAGAAGCUGCUGCCUCCGUUUCCCCCGGGUUACAGCGCCUGGCGCAGCCUGUUGUCCCCUCAGAAGUGGUGGGCGACAUUAUCUCCUUUUUCAUCCCUAGCCCUCUCCCUUGAAGCUGUCCUGAUCUCUCUUUUGGACCCAGGAACGUGAGCAGAGUGGCUCCUGAAAUCCAUCACACAUGUGGCUUGCAAGUAUUUUGGUCGGACAACGCUGCCAUAGAUUGUCCCACUGUGAAAUGGUUCCCUCUGGGCUUACGGGACUACUAUAGAAGGGUCCUAAGGUCCUGUGCCUCCCUGCUUUUCAAGUGGCUGCAAACUUCUGUGCCUACCGCUUCCUCCACUGGAUGUUUCCUUCCUGCCCUCCUCCCUGAGGACCUCCUAGUCCCCCUUCAGGAUGCAGAGCUGGAGCCUCCACUCCAGGAAGCCACUCAUGUUGUUGCCAACACAACCCCCUGCACACAUGCAGUAUUAGGCAUUGGUCUGCCUGGCUGUCCCUGGGCUGUGCUGUCCUUGAGGGCAGUUUUUGUGUCUAAUUCCCAGAGAGUGCAAGAACACAAGCAUGCUCAUCCAGACGUUAGUAAGCUGCCCUAAGGGGUGGAGCAGUCAGAUUCCGGUUUUAUUUAUUUUUC